GGAUACCGCCCCUGAAGCGGGCUUAGCUCGCUGAUUGGUCGCCGUCACGAGGAAACACGGAAGUGGCGCUGCCGUACGGACGGGGAGCGGCGGGGGCCGCGGGCGGGAGCUUUGGGCCCAUCCUGGAAUUCUUCGCUUCUCCACCACCCAAAAAAUCACAAAAAAUCCC